CCUACGGGAGGCAGCAGUGAGGAAUAUUGGUCAAUGGGCGCGAGCCUGAACCAGCCAAGUAGCGUGAAGGAUGACUGCCCUACGGGUUGUAAACUGCUUUUAUAAGGGAAUAAAGUGCCUCACGUGUGCCUUUUUGCAUGUACUUUAUGAAUAAGGAUCGGCUAAUUCCGUGCCAGCAGCCGCGGUAAUACGGAGGAUCCGGGCGUUAUCCGGAUUUAUUGGGUUUAAAGGGAGCGUAGGUGGGGUGUUAAGUCAGCUGUGAAAUGUUGGGGCUCAACCCGAAAAUUGCAAUUGAUACUGGCAGCCUUGAGUACAGGUGAGGUAGGCGGAAUUCGUGGUGUAGCGGUGAAAUGCUUAGAUAUGACGAAGAACUCCGAUUGCGAAGGCAGCCUACUAAACUGCCACUGACACUGAUGCUCGAAAGUGCGGGUAUCAAACAGGAUUAGAUACCCGAGUAGUC
rnacentral:rRNA from 1 species